ensembl:lncRNA
AUGCUUGUUUUGCUUUCUUGCUCUCUGUCUCUAAUCCUUCUUGUUACAUCACUUUUCUUCAGGAGAUUCUGGGUGGACCCCAUGCGGCAGAGCAGCGAUUUGAUGCUGAGUUUUUCAAGAGGUUCCGCAAUCAGAAUAUUGUUCUGUCAGCAAGAACGCAUGCAAGGGAGAGCAACGUGCAAGAGUUGGAUAUUCUCUUCACUUACUACGGCUUUGAGCUGCUCCAGCACCGGCUCGCUGUUCUUUUCAAUUUCCCAGGAACCUCCUCUCCUCACGAGUACUCCGACCUUCUGCCUAAGGCAGGUCCACUGA